UGAAUUUCUUGGAAACGAAUUCAGUUUGAAUUUGAACACACGCGAGUAUGGAUGCGUCGUCGCGCGGUGUAAAAUCGAAUUAACAACAAAAAAAGUGUAUAAACAAGAAAAAAAGUUAUCAGAUUUGAAAAAAAAGAAGUUAAAACCAAACAGUAUUUUAGUGUAUUAAAAAAAAAGUAUGAAAAUUUGUCGCCCGCCUGUAUGAAAAAAAAACAACAAUAAAGUCUUUGUGAACGAGUAUAAACAUAUUUACAUUAGGAUUUUUGUUAAAUAUUAUAUUUUAAAUAUGUUGUGUUGCUAUUGUUGUUGCUGCUGACUGCUACUAACUAACAAACUGCUCAAAUUAAUGUAACAGAAAGAAAUUGAAUGCUUGAACAGAAAAGAAACAGAAAAAAGAAAAUCAAACGGCAGUAUGUAGUAAAAUAAACUUAAUAUAAACUACAAGUACUUAGCGAAGAAAAUAAA